GAUGAACGCUAGCUACAGGCUUAACACAUGCAAGUCGCAGGGUAACAUGAGGAAAGCUUGCUUUCCUUGAUGACGACUGGCGCACGGGUGAGUAACGCGUAUCCAACCUUCCCAUAACUACGGGAUAACCCGUUGAAAGACGGCCUAAUACCGUAUGAUAUCGUUUGCUGACAUCAAAUAACGAUUAAAGGUUUAGCGGUUAUGGAUGGGGAUGCGUCUGAUUAGCUUGUUGGCGGGGUAACGGCCCACCAAGGCGACGAUCAGUAGGGGUUCUGAGAGGAAGGUCCCCCACAUGGGAACUGAGACACGGUCCAAACUCCUACGGGAGGCAGCAGUGAGGAAUAUUGGUCAAUGGGCGAGAGCCUGAACCAGCCAAGUAGCGUGCAGGACGACGGCCCUAUGGGUUGUAAACUGCUUUUAUGUGGGGAUAAAGUGCGUGACGUGUCAUGCAUUGCAGGUACCACAUGAAUAAGGACCGGCUAAUUCCGUG
rnacentral:rRNA from 1 species